CGAACUCUGGUAUUGAUUGGUGCUUGCAUCAUGAUUUACAUUUGAGUGAGUGGCGAACUGGUGAGUAACACGUGGGAAACCUGCCCAGAAGCGGGGGAUAACACCUGGAAACAGAUGCUAAUACCGCAUAACAACUUGGACCGCAUGGUCCGAGCUUGAAAGAUGGCUUCGGCUAUCACUUUUGGAUGGUCCCGCGGCGUAUUAGCUAGAUGGUGGGGUAACGGCUCACCAUGGCAAUGAUACGUAGCCGACCUGAGAGGGUAAUCGGCCACAUUGGGACUGAGACACGGCCCAAACUCCUACGGGAGGCAGCAGUAGGGAAUCUUCCACAAUGGACGAAAGUCUGAUGGAGCAACGCCGCGUGAGUGAAGAAGGGUUUCGGCUCGUAAAACUCUGUUGUUAAAGAAGAACAUAUCUGAGAGUAACUGUUCAGGUAUUGACGGUAUUUAACCAGAAAGCCACGGCUAACUACGUGCCAGCAGCCGCGGUAAUACGUAGGUGGCAAGCGUUGUCCGGAUUUAUUGGGCGUAAAGCGAGCGCAGGCGGUUUUUUAAGUCUGAUGUGAAAGCCUUCGGCUCAACCGAAGAAGUGCAUCGGAAACUGGGAAACUUGAGUGCAGAAGAGGACAGUGGAACUCCAUGUGUAGCGGUGAAAUGCGUAGAUAUAUGGAAGAACACCAGUGGCGAAGGCGGCUGUCUGGUCUGUAACUGACGCUGAGGCUCGAAAGUAUGGGUAGCAAACAGGAUUAGAUACCCUGGUAGUCCAUACCGUAAACGAUGAAUGCUAAGUGUUGGAGGGUUUCCGCCCUUCAGUGCUGCAGCUAACGCAUUAAGCAUUCCGCCUGGGGAGUACGGCCGCAAGGCUGAAACUCAAAGGAAUUGACGGGGGCCCGCACAAGCGGUGGAGCAUGUGGUUUAAUUCGAAGCUACGCGAAGAACCUUACCAGGUCUUGACAUACUAUGCAAAUCUAAGAGAUUAGACGUUCCCUUCGGGGACAUGGAUACAGGUGGUGCAUGGUUGUCGUCAGCUCGUGUCGUGAGAUGUUGGGUUAAGUCCCGCAACGAGCGCAACCCUUAUUAUCAGUUGCCAGCAUUAAGUUGGGCACUCUGGUGAGACUGCCGGUGACAAACCGGAGGAAGGUGGGGAUGACGUCAAAUCAUCAUGCCCCUUAUGACCUGGGCUACACACGUGCUACAAUGGAUGGUACAACGAGUUGCGAACUCGCGAGAGUAAGCUAAUCUCUUAAAGCCAUUCUCAGUUCGGAUUGUAGGCUGCAACUCGCCUACAUGAAGUCGGAAUCGCUAGUAAUCGCGGAUCAGCAUGCCGCGGUGAAUACGUUCCCGGGCCUUGUACACACCGCCCGUCACACCAUGAGAGUUUGUAACACCCAAAGUCGGUGGGGUAACCUUUUAGGAA
rnacentral:rRNA from 2 species